AAAUUGAAGAGUUUGAUCAUGGCUCAGAUUGAACGCUGGCGGCAGGCCUAACACAUGCAAGUCGAACGGUAACAGGAAGAAGCUUGCUUCUUUGCUGACGAGUGGCGGACGGGUGAGUAAUGUCUGGGAAACUGCCUGAUGGAGGGGGAUAACUACUGGAAACGGUAGCUAAUACCGCAUAACGUCGCAAGACCAAAGAGGGGGACCUUCGGGCCUCUUGCCAUCGGAUGUGCCCAGAUGGGAUUAGCUAGUAGGUGGGGUAACGGCUCACCUAGGCGACGAUCCCUAGCUGGUCUGAGAGGAUGACCAGCCACACUGGAACUGAGACACGGUCCAGACUCCUACGGGAGGCAGCAGUGGGGAAUAUUGCACAAUGGGCGCAAGCCUGAUGCAGCCAUGCCGCGUGUAUGAAGAAGGCCUUCGGGUUGUAAAGUACUUUCAGCGGGGAGGAAGGGAGUAAAGUUAAUACCUUUGCUCAUUGACGUUACCCGCAGAAGAAGCACCGGCUAACUCCGUGCCAGCAGCCGCGGUAAUACGGAGGGUGCAAGCGUUAAUCGGAAUUACUGGGCGUAAAGCGCACGCAGGCGGUUUGUUAAGUCAGAUGUGAAAUCCCCG
rnacentral:rRNA from 1 species